rnacentral:lncRNA from 1 species
AUGACGGGAGCUGCUUUCUCACGCACGGCGACGUGCAGUCACUCCGAUCUGGGAAGUACGUUGCUCUGCUGAAAGUUGCCCGCCCUCGAAAGCUUUCCAAGACGCAACUCCAGGCCAUCACAUUGGGAGUACUUGUUCCAACACUGUUCCUGCUGAUAGUCUGUCUCGGAUGGCACUGCCGGAGGAGAAAUAAGCAUGAUGACGACGAGGGAGAAGAAGAAAGCACCUUGCAGCUAUCCCUCAUGGCGGGUAUGCCCAGGCGCUUCAGUACGAGAUGCUGGGCUUGAACGCCAGGAAGAACCGGGUGACGGUGGCGGGCUGGAUGACGGCCGUGUCCUUCCACCCGACUUGAUCCACGUCGGCUCCCUGUGCCUCGCCCGUGUAGCAGCUCCUCGAGUCCGGAUAGUCGUACUCGAACGAGCACGACCCGGCAGCGAAUCGCCCGGUGUCGAAUCCCUGCUGCUCGAGCACGAGAAAGUUGAUGAGAUGGAUGUGGAUCGGAUGGGAUGCUGUCAUGGUGUUGAUCAUGCACCACACCUCGUUCGUGUAGAGCAGGACUUGCUCGGUGGCCGGACGCAUGAAAGAGAGCCUGUCCUGGAGGAAGAGUCCCGUGAGCGUGUUUCCAGAGUCGAGGCUUACACGGUGGACGAAAGGCCGGUUCUAAGUUGACGCCCAGUCGACGUACGAGAGAUCUACUCCGGCCGUGGCUUUGAUGAUCGAUAGCGUUGGCAACUCGGCCAGCUCGCUUGGAGUGAGUGCUUGCGGGAUGUCAUCGUCGUCUUCGUCGAUGGUAGCGUUGGUCUGCCAGUUGAUUACUUUGAACAGGAGAACCUCUUGCUCGGUGACGCUUCCACUCGGGAAUGGAGCCGGCGCGGUGUUGUACAAGAGAACUCUCUCCCCGGGCUUCACUCCGCGAAAGUCGAUAAGAAUGUCGACUCGCUCGGAAGGAGAGAGCCUGAGCUUCUUCUGCCUUAUCGGAGUCGCCAGGUAUCCCCCGUCCGUGCCAAUCUUGAUGAAGCUCAAGCUCGUGUCGUUCAAGUUGAGGAUGAAGAAUCUCGAGUUUGCCGCAAGCAGCACCCGGAACCUCACCACCACCGGCCAGACUUCGAUGUAAGGCCACACCUUCCCGUUCACCAGAAUGGUAUCACCAAAGUAGUCCGGACACCACUGCGGACGAACUGCCGGAUGGCUCCCAACACUGGGAUAGUUUAUGGAGCCGUCGCUGAAGAACUUCUUGUCUUGGAUCACCAGAAGCACGUAGUUUCUCGGGACCCAGGAUGGAUCUUCCCACGGCGACUCUAUCACGUAAACUCCGACCAAGCCAGCAGCCAUGUUGAGCCGGGUCAUGCCGUAAGUGUGGUCGUGAUACCACAGGAGCGAGUGGCGCUGAAAGUUGGGAUAGACGUAGUUUUGCGUCACGUAACCCGGGCCCCGCUCGCCAACUGAUGUAAACCAGGCUUCUGGAUGCCCGUCGGACCAGCUCGAGCCCUCUUGUCCAUGGAGAUGAGGGACCACGGGAAUGUAGCCGUAGCGCGGACCCGCCCCUAGGAUCGUAUAGUCGACUGGAAGAAAGUGUUCACGAUCUGGAAUGUGAUUUUCCCAUCGGACAAAGGAUGUUUCUCUCUUUUGGGCUAUCAAAGUUGGACCCGGAUAUGAAGCUGUAUACUCGCUCGUGCCGAAUGCAUACAGUGUUGUUGGUGGCAAGUCUCUGUGCAGUUUCUGCGUCAACAAAAAAAAACGAGUCUUGGAAGAGUCUGGAAAUCAAGUGGAGAAAGAACGCAUACCUGGGUGAUUUUGUAAGCUCCAAUGGUAACUCUGUAGCGUGGGCUCAAGUAUAUCUUCGGUGGCGUUGGAAGAACGUCGACGAACUUUUCCAGCUCCGGGGACGGUGACAGUUGCAGACAGACCUCAUCCGCUUCUACUGCGACUAAAAUCUCGAGGAUGAACAGCGUUACGAACUUCCAAGACAUUGGGAACUCUUCCAACCUGCUUGCAACACUUGCCGAACUUAAAUAAAGUCAGUCAAAGAAGUGAACCUGGCGUGCAAAGUCUUGUCCAAAGAGCGUGACACAGCUCGCUGGGAGUUCAAAUAAUUCAGCGCUUGAGAGGCCGAAAAAAUAAUGGCUAGCAAAGGAAAGUUGUGCUUCAUUGUCUCGUCGAUCUUCAUCCUGCGUUUUGCUCAAGCCGCAAUUUCCUAUAGGAGUUUCACCAUCAACAUAAAUGAUUCCUUCUUGUUUCCGCUUGAUCCAUCCGGGUUGAGUGGCCGCGACGCUGAUUUAUGGUCCAACUACACUGACACGGACAUGAGCUACCAGGUGUGGAUGCUGAGCUAUGACGCCACAACACCAAGAUCGUUCUUCCUGGCACUUGUUGGAAUUCUCAAUCCAAGUAAGCCCUGGGAACUCUUAAAACCGGUGGUUCUGUGGAAGGCCCGACAGACGAGGCUUGUAGGUGAGAAUGCCACUCUACAAUUUACCACAGAUGGAGAGCUUAAAGUCGAAGAAGACGGUGAUGUCGUAUGGUCCACGAAAACUGCAAACAGAGGCGUCCGGUGGCUCUGUAUUUCCAAUCGCGCAACCAUAAUGCUCCUGGAUGAAAGCGGAAGCAAUGUCAUCUGGCAAAGCAGCGACGAACCUUCUGACACUGUGCUGUUGCAACGAGCACUUACGCCGGGACAAAAGCUCGUAAGUUGGAAUACUUCAGAAGACAGCAGCGAUGGCCUCUAUAGUCUCGUCAUGGAGAAAAACAGGCUGCAACUGUUGUACGCCUCGCAACCGUACUGGAGCUUCGGUAAUAUUGGCAGCGAGGAAAACAUGUUUGCGGUGUUUUGCUGGCAAAACGAUGGUAACGUGUCUCUGGAUCUGCGCACCGACUUCUCACAGAUUGAAACGAUGCCUGAUGAAUUGGGGUUAGUGCCUUCCCGGUCAUGUUCUAGUCGAGGUUUAAGAGACCAAGUGAUGCCGUUGAACGUAAACGGGUCACAGUUCACGUCCUCCACUUUCAUAAGGCUCACACCAGAUGGAGAUGUGGACCUGUACUCCUGGAAUUGGACGGGUAGCUACUGGGCAACUUAUCUCAGCUUUUCCAGUCUCUUCAACUGCUUCCUUCCAAGUGCAUGCGGGAAGUAUAGAACCUGUAAUCCAGUGUCAGGUGCAUGCGAGGAAACUUGUCCCGAGAGCUUUACCAGGACAGGUCGAGAUUGCCAGCCAUUGAGUAAACUUCAGACGUGUGCAGAGGACCUCGAGUAUCGAUUCGUUCGAAAGGAGGGAGCUGGUUACUUCUCCACAAAUUAUACUGAUCCACUCAAUGUUGCAUCGGAAGCAGACUGUCAAGGGCGCUGUGAGUCGAACUGCAACUGCACGGCUGCCUUUUAUAGUGACCGGAGCUGCUUUCUCGCUCAUGGAGACGUACAAUCGCUUCGAACUGGAAAAUACGUUGCGUUAUUGAAAGUUGCACAGCCACGAAAAGCAUCCAGGAAGCACGUCCAGGCCAUCACCUUGGGAGUACUUAUUCCGACACUCGUCCUUCUGAUUAUAAGUCUCGGAUGGCGCUGCCGAAGGAGCAAGAACGAUGAUGACGAGGGAGAAGAAGAAAGCACCUUGCAGCUCUCUCUCAUGGCUGGCAUGCCAAGGCGUUUUAGUUACCAAGAGCUGCAACAAGUCACAGGAAACUUCAGUGAAAUGCUUGGAAAUGGAGGAUUUGGAAGCGUGUUCAAAGGAAACCUUGCCGAUGGAAUUGAGGUCGCUGUGAAGAAACUUGAAGGCUCCAACCAGAGGAGCAAAGAUUUUUUCGCCGAAGUUGGAAUCCUAGCCAGGACGCACCACUGGAACCUCGUCAAGCUGCUGGGAUUCUGUGCCCAGGGUCCAAGGAAAAGGCUCCUGGUGUACGAAUAUAUGAGGAACGGGUCCCUCGACCGAUGGAUAUUUGAAGACGAUGAAUAUCCUGGCAAUGUGCCGUGGGGAGUUAGAUACAACAUUGCCUUGGGCACAGCAAGAGGAUUGAGCUACUUACAUGACGAAUGCGCUGAAAAGAUAAUCCACUUGGACUUGAAGCCGGAGAAUGUGCUCCUCGACGAUGGUUUCCAGCCGAAAAUAGCAGAUUUCGGACUGUCCAGGCUCAUGGACAGGAAGGAAAGCCACUUGCAGCUGACGAUAACGAGAGGCACUCCUGGCUACGUCGCACCGGAGUGUGUUCAGGAAGGAACAGUGACUGAAAAAUCGGAUGUUUUCGGCUUCGGGGUAUUGCUGCUCGAGAUCAUAACAGGUUGCAGGAGCAGGAAUCUCUCGGAUGAUUUCCUGAAGGACUACCUGUUGGUCAGUGAAAGGGACGAGAAGGCUGUUGCUCACCUCCACCAAGACGACAAGGAAAGAGAGAGAUUGAAGACCGUGGUAAGUUUGUGUGUCCGAGACGAUCCAGACUUACGGCCCUCGAUGAUGAACGUGGUACCAAUGAUGCAAGGAGUUAUUAAGCUUCCUCAGAUCCCCUCGGAGUCGCAGCUCCAGUUCUUCCUCGCUUACAGAUCCAAACUUCAGCUUAGCAGAAGCACAACCUCGGACGUACCUCAGUACAGUUCUAAUAAGUUGCUGGGUUCGUCAACGUCGUUUGGAUUUCUCUCACAAGAGAGCCUGGGUUGUCGAUAAUUGGAUAGUGCUCAGUACCUAUACAAUGAUAUGUAAGUAAUUCAUACCUUGUGCCCAGUAUAUCCGUUACAGUCCACAAGAGUUGUAUAGCAAUCCUAACUUGAAGAAGGAGCUUGCUUCUUCCCGAUCUGGAAAUUUGCAAAGAAAGUAAGAAAACAAACCUGCAACGACUUGCUCAAGAGCUCGUGCUUCGAAAUCGAGCGAGCCAAAGUAAUCAAGCAAAUGGCUAGCCUGCUUUUGACUCAAGUGACACUCUUCUACUGGAACUCAAGUAUACCUUUGAUCGAACUUCUCCAGUUCAGACACAUCCCAUUGGCUUUCACCACGAACAAAAUUUCCCGCCGUUUCUAAAGCGAUUCCUCUCUCACCACAGCUUUCGCUAAACUGGAAAGAAAAGAAAAAAAAGAGAGGGGGAGUCGAAGGAAAACAAAAUCUGUGAGAAGAUUUCUCGUACCUGAUUCCUACGGAUUUCCUUCAACCUGUUAAAGCAUAUCCACAUAAACUCAAGUCAGUCACAAAGCUCGGCUAUAACCAAGUCUAAACGUAUCUGCAAAGACUUGUUCAAAGCGCGUUGGAACAUCCAAGUAUUUGAGCGCCGGAGCCGCAAGAGAGGUCGAGAACUCCAUGGCUACCAAAGGAGAGCUGUGCUUCAUCUUCUCGUCGAUCUUCAUCCUGGGAUUUUCUCGAGCGGAACUGUACUACAGGAAUUUCACCAGUGAAGUAAAUGGUCCCCUGUAUCCGCUUGAUCCAUCCGGCUUGAGUGGCCGCUACACUGAUUUAUGGUCCAACUACACCGACACGGACAUGAGCUUCCAGGUGUGGAUGCUGAGCUAUGACGCCACAACACCAAGAUCGUUCUUCCUGGCACUGGUUGGAAUUCGCAAUCCAAGUAAGCUCUGGGACCUCACAAAACCGGUCGUUCUGUGGAAGGCCCGUCAGACGAGGCUUGUAGGAGAGAAUGCCACUCUAGCAUUCACCACCGAUGGAGAGCUCAAGCUUGAAGAAGAUGGCGACGUUGUCUGGUCCUCCAACACCACAAACAAAGGCGUCCGGUGGCUUGCCAUAUCCGACAGCGCGACCAUAAUGCUCCUGGAUGAAAGUGAAAGCAAUGUCAUCUGGCAAAGUAGCGACGAACCUUCUGACACUGUGCUGUUGCAACGAGCGCUUAAGCCGGGAUAUAAGCUCGUAAGUUGGAAUACUUCAGAAGACAGCAGCGACGGCCUGUAUAGCCUUGUCAUGGAGAAGAACAGGCUCAAACUGCUAUACGACUCGCAACCAUACUGGAGCUUCGGUAAUAUUACAAGAGAGGAAGAUAUGUUUGCGGUCUUCUGCUGGCAGCCAAAUGGAGUCGUGUCCCUGGAUCUCCGAACUAAUUUCUCACAGAUAGAAGGUGCGGGCUUGGUACAGCCGGAGUCUUGUGCCAUACCUGGUUCUGAAGACCAAGCGAUGCAGCUGCCAAUAAACGGGUCACAGUUCACGUCCUCCACUUUCAUAAGGCUCACACCAGAUGGAGAUGUGGACCUGUACUCCUGGAAUUGGACGGGUAGCAACUGGGUGACUUAUCUCAGCUUUUCCAAUCACUUCAAGUGCUUCCUUCCAAGUGCAUGCGGGAAAUAUAGAACCUGUAAUCCAACAUUAGGUACAUGCGAAGAUACUUGUCCCGAGAGCUUUACCAAGAAAGAUGAAGAUUGCCAGCCAUCGUUUCCACUUCAGAUGUGUGAGGAGGAGAUGGAGUAUCGAUUCGUUCGGAAGGAGGGAACUGAUUACUUCUCCACAAAUUAUACUGAUCCACUCAAUGUUGCAUCGGAAGAAGAUUGUCAAGGGUUGUGUGAGUCGAAUUGCAACUGCACGGCUGCCUUCUAUAGUGACCGGGCCUGCUUUCUCGUGCAUGGAGACGUGCAAUCACUUCGAACUGGAAAAUACGUUGCGUUAUUGAAAGUUGCACAGCCACGAAAGAAUUCCAGGAAGCACGUCCAGGCCAUCACCUUGGGAGUACUUAUUCCAACAGUCGUCCUACUGAUAGUAAGCCUCGGAUGGCGCUGCCGGAGGAACAAGGAAGAUGACGACGAGGGAGAAGAAGAAAGCACCUUGCAGCUCUCUCUCAUGGCUGGCAUGCCGAGGCGUUUUAGUUACCAGGAG